rnacentral:tRNA from 1 species
GGGGCUAUGGUCUAGCGGUUAGGACGUCACCCUCUCACGGUGAAAACCGGGGUUCGAUUCCCCGUAGCCCUACCA